rnacentral:lncRNA from 1 species
UCAAAAAAAAAAGGUAAUUAAUAGUAUUUAUUGUUUCCUUUUUUUUUCUAAAUUAUUUUUUAAAGGUUAAUACGUAAAUUUUGAAAUUAUAAAUAUUUUUAUUAUAAUUUUCUUUCAUUUUUGAUUCGUGGUGAUAAUCGUGAGAGAAAAUUAAAUUAACCCACAUGUCAAAAGACAAAAUACACCCUUAUUUUGCCCCCACGUGAGCUAUAAUCUGGAGGGUAGUUUUGGUAUUUAGCUUACGGAGAAAACUAAAAAGUGCAUAUUAAAUACUUAUUGAAUAAGAAUUCCUUCCUUCAAAAAAUUAAAAGAAUAAGGAGCAUAAAUCUUAUCAUUCAUAAGCUAAGGGCAGGGAACUAAGCUCCUUGCUUCAAUAGUAUAAUUGUAUUUUUAGUGUUUCUUUAAUAUAAAUAAUUUAAUCUAAUCGCGUUUAGUCUCUUUUAAAUAGAAAAACUAUAAAUUUUAGUCACCAUUCAAAAGUUAAAAUUUUAAUUUAAGCUUUUUAAUAUAAUAUAUUAUAUCAACACAUGACAAUUCUAUUCUCUCUCUAUACAUCAUCAUUUUUUAUUUUUAAAUUAAUAGAAGAUAAUUUAAAAUUAUAAUCUACCAUUAAAGAGAUUAUGGCUACGCUUGUUUCACUAAAAAUGAUUUCUAAAAAAUGAUUUAUUUUUUUAGAAAAGUUAAUAUUUGCUGAUGUUUGGAUGAAUCUGUGUAAAAUAUUUUCUAUUGUUUGACAGAUUUCCUGAAAAUAUUUCAUAAAAGUUGUUUUUAAUGAAACAAACAUACAUUUGAGAUUUAUAAUAAGUAGUGAAUUGAUAACAAAGUGAUAUUAAUGUGAAAUUAUAGUAAAUAAUGAAUCUUCAUGAUGUUAAGGAUUAAAUUGUAAACUUUAUAAAAUUUAUUGUACAGCCCAUUUUGCCUGGUCGAGUACCCAAAUUUACCCAAAAGCCCAAACACCCACCUAAACUAACCCUAACCUAGACCCAAAAUCUGAGCCCAACUAAAAUUAGCCCAACCAAUAGUAAUCUAAGGUUUCAGUUUUCUGAAACCCUAGCUUACUGCCUUCAGACACCCUGCCAUCGCCGCACCUAACCCUUGACCUUCCACCACCGUCGCGCCACCUACUCUGCCACUUAUUCUGCCACCGCUCGUCCAUCACCCUGCAAAAUAAACAAACACACAAAGAGCAGCAAAAAUAAUAGCAAAAAAUAGAAAUAAAUAGGCUAUAAAAGCCAACACUACCUUUGUAUAUUUUUUUAACAACCAGUGAAAGAAAAGCAGAUCAAAAAUUAAAAAAAAGGUUGAUUCCAGUUCUUUUUCUGUUCUUGCGUUUUUUAUUUUCUUUAUUUUUCUUUUUAUUUUAUUUUAUUUUUGUUCGUUUCACUACUCUUUUUAACAAAAACAAAACGAAAAAGGGAAAGAAAGAUACUUGUUCGCUUCGAAGACCGGCGUCGGAGCCCAUCUUCGCCGUCGUCGGAGUCGAACACAGAAAAAGGCCCUUUCUUUCUCUCGGUCCCGCGGUUGAGAAGGCCAAGCCUUCGAAUACACCGAAAGGAGGGCUAAAAAGCCCAUUUCGCGCAACUCCGACCAAUGGCCGUGGAGGUGGCGCGGCGGAGGACAGAAUCCAAGGCCGGAAGUCGUGAGGGAGAGAGAGAAAAGGAGGGAAUUCAGUUUUUUUUAAGAAAAAAAAGCAGAAAAUGAAGUAAAAAAAAACUUUGAUUUUUAAUAGCUUUUCAAAACGGCGCCGUUUUGCGCCAUAGCCCCAGGCGUUGAAACGACGCCGUUUCACCCUGACCCGCGCAGUGACCCGACAUUGAGGGGAGGAUCCGCGUGUUUUCUUUAAAAGGGAUAUUUGCGCGCGCAGUCCCUCCGCUUUUGCAAUGCGUUGCAAUUGGCCCCUUUUUCCUUCUUUUCUUUAUUUUUAAUUUAGCCGUAUAAUUUUAUCGUUGUUUCAUUUUAGUUCCGUGUAAAGUGCUGCGUUUUGGAGGGCGGGGAUAUUUUCCUCUUUAGUCCCUCCUUGUUAUUCGCGCACUCAAUUCGGUCCUCCUCUGUUAAUUUAUUUACAAAUUUGCCCCCCGAAUUUUGUUUUAAAAUUCAAUUUAGCUCUUUUUUUAUAUUUUGGUUAUUUUAUUAUUAAAAUUAAUAAAUUUGAUAUUAUUACUGUUAUUAUUAAUUAUUAUUGCUGUUAUUUGUUCAUUUAUACCUUUAAAAUUUCAAUUUUUAUCACAUAUAUAUAUGUUCAUGCUUACAUUUUUAUAUACAUAUAUACAUACAUAUUUUUAUUGUAUGUGUACGCAUAUAAUUUUUCAAGUUUAUUUAUAUAUAUAUACCUACCUAGAUAUAUAUUAUUUAUGCUUUAUACUUUAUAUAUGUAUACACAUACUUUUACUUUUGUGAACACAUACACAUAUUCAUAUAUUUUUUAUAUUUUCAUAUAAUUUAUAUAGAUACCUACAUAUUUUUAGAUAUAUACAUACCUAUGUCUUUUACGCUUUAUAAUUUAUAUAUACAUAAAUAUGUAUAUUCGUUUAUAUAUAUAUACAUGUAUAUAAACUCACGCAUUUUUAUAAUUUAUAAUUUAAAUAUACUAAUGUACAUACGUAAAUAUUUUAUCUCUUAUUAUUCGUAUUGUUAUUUUCGUUCUAUUUGAUAUUUAUUUAUUUAUUUAUUCAUGUGUUCAUUAUUAUUUUUAGGAAACGCUUUAGUUUUUUUAUUAUUAUUUCAUAUAUACUUGACUUUUUAUUUUAUGUAUUUUAUUUCUUUUUUUGAUUAUUGCUUAUAUUAGUUGUGCAUGUAUCAUCAUUAUCAUUUUAUUAUACAUGUUAAUAUUGCCUUUAUUCCUACCAUUUUAUGUUAAGUUAAUUUUAUUUAAUAUGGUUUUAAAAUAAACAAAGUUUCGUAUUUUGAAAUUCGAGAAGAUCGUGCCCUAACUUACGGGGUUUCGAUCUUCACGACAAAUUCAAAUACACGAAUCAUUUCAAACAAAAUUUUUAAAUGUUCUCGGGAAUUAACAAAAGAUCGUGUUCUAACUCACGGGACAUGACAUUUUUUUAAACUUGAGAUAAUCAAACUCUUUCAAUAUAAAUAUUUUUUUUUUAGCAUUCAUUCUCGUAUCGAGAAUUUUAGAUAUUGUGUCCUAACUUACGGGAUGUGAUUCUUUUUCUUGAAUAACGCAAAAAUAUGCUUCUCUCCCUAAAUUUAUACAAGUUUUUUUAAAUAACAAGGAUCGUGUUUCGAACCUUUUUAAAUUUUUUUUAAAUUUUCGACAUUAAGACUUUAACUAAUCAGUUAGAUACCAAUUUUUGGGCGUUACGAGGGUGCUAACCCUUCCUCGUACGUAACUGACUCCCGAACCUGUUUUUCUGAAUUUCGUGGACUAAAAUCGUUGUUUUAAUAAAAUCAAACCGUUUAUUAAAAACAACCACUUUUCGAGGUGAUCCAAUCACAUCUCAUUAAAAAGUAUUGGUGGCGACUCCCGUUUUCGUUUUCAUUUUUCAAAACCUAAGUCGACCCCGUUUUCACCAAAAAAAUGGUGUCAACAUUUAUAAUUGAAACAAGAUAAAUGAUAUGCAUGAAAAUUUGUUAUGUGAAAUAAGAUAUUAUAAUGAAUUAUUUAAUUAAAGUGCUUAUAUGGUGAAAAAUAAAUUACAUGACAAUAGGGGCUAAAUUGAAAAUUGUACAAAAGUUUAAGUGUGAAACAAUUUAAUAUGUGAAUAAAAAAUUAUGAUAAAAGUUUAAUGAAUGUGUUAUGAGAUGCUGAAAUAUGUAUAAAGUUUUGUAAAAGUGAAAUUGUGGAAAAAUAUGGAAUUUUUAUGAUGACAAGGAUUAAAUUGUUAAACUUGAGAAAAUAUGUGGAUGGAAUAAUAAAAGUGAAAUACAUAAAAAUUUGAUCUUUGAAACAAGAUUGAGAUAAAUUAUGUGAUUAAAGUGUAACAAAAAAAUUGAUUUAAUAUGAUUAAUUAGUGAAUAUUGAUCUUUUUACGACAAAAAAGGACUAAAUUGAUAAAUUAUGAAAGCUUAUAAAAAAUAUUUGAUAAGUAAAGAAUGUAGUAUAGAACAUAACAUCCUAGUGCUUUGACUCGAUGUUCGGGUCAAGUAUGGGGGUGUUACUGUGAACAGGGCCUUAUCAGUUUAGAAAAUGGCUUACAAAAAAAAUAUUUUACAAGAAUAAGGGAAUAAUUUUAUGUUGACUAAAAAACUUUUUAUGUUGACAAUCUAUUUUACAUGAAACAAACCUUGGAGAAAACUAAAAAUAUUUUCUAUAAAAACUUUUAAGUUAAACAAAGGAACCUGUAUAAAGAUAUGUUUUCAAAUUUUAAACUGAAAAUUGACAAGUUUAUAAAUUUUAAAUAGGAAAAAAUAAGAGUUGUGGAUUUAUGAAAAUAUGAAAGAAAUACGAAUGAUUUCUGAGAAGUACAGUGAAACCCAAAAGAAUUCCAAGUAAAAUAUUCUCGUCAACAAGCACAACAAGAAAGAAAAUGCGAUGGUCGAGUUUGUGAGAUUGUGAAAGCAAGUGGUGGUUGGGACGCUUCACCAUUUGAUGGUAGAAACUAUCGACGUAGGCAAAAAGAAACUUUACGAGGCCAAAGUGGGUUAAACCUUGGAUGAACUUUAAAGAAUUGCAGGAGUUUAAACAUGCUGGUUGCUCUUCUUUCAUCGCAAACGAAUUAUAAUACUUAAAUCAUGAUGAACAAUUUAGCUGUUUUCCGAAUUCAGGUGUUUGGACUAGAGAAGUACCUAUUUAUCCUGGCUUAUUUUGAAGACGAUUUAAGAUGAAUGCCGACCCUUCACGGUUUCGAAUUCUCAACACGACCCGAUUAGGAGCCGCUCCAGCAACAUUAACUAGGGAACAAAACAAGCUCUCAUAGAAAAACUGUGUUGCAUCUCAUAUACAUAUCUAUAUCCUUGUGAUUUCUAUCGGUUUUUUAAUCUUAAUCGGAGGCGUCUUUUGAUAAGAAGGCUUGAGACCCUCUCUAUAUGUGAUCUUCCCUUUUGAGCUUUGUCUUGUUUAUAUCUUUGUUUGCAAUGAUUGAAACUUUCAGAAAACAUUUCUUUCUUGUACUAGACAUUAGACAACCAAGUUAGUUCCCUGUAAUUUGUGUUUAUAUGAUGAAUGUGAAAAAGGAAUGAAAAAAGAGAGUUUAUUUUGCACUUUCACGUUACUGUAAAUUUUAAAUUUUAUUUCUUUAACCUAUUAAAUGAAAUUAUGUUAAUUUCCAAAUAAUUUAUAUGAUCUACUUAAUAUAAGAUGUAUCACGUCCCUAAAAUUUCAACAUUUAGAAAAACGUUUAUAUUUAAAAAAUCAAUCUUAAUUACAUUUAAAAUAAUUCCACUUAUAAAUUUAAUAAAUAAUAACAAAAAAUUGUUAUAAUAUAAUACAUUCAAUACAACUUGUUAUAUAAUAUCUCACAAACCCAAAUCUGAUCCUCCCGGGUGAUCUGAAAUCUAACCCGAUCAAGGAAGGGAUGUCAUCCAGCUUGUCAGUCAGUCACUCCUCGGCUCGCCACCUCCUUGUUUGUACACCCGCAAUGAUACUUCUCCGAGGAACCCCUCAGAGGUUACAUAUCAAGUCUAGGGGGGAUAACGUGUUCUCAUGCAUGCACCUAGUUAUCCCCUAGCACGUCCCAUCAAAGAACUAUGCCUUGUAAAUACAAGGAGUAAUCCCAUGAGAGGGGGGGGGGAAGGAACCAUCAACACUUGGUGCAGUGAGCGUUGAUAGACUUCCGGCGUUCAUAUUGAAGAUAGAUCGAUAUGGCUCACCCAAACGAGAGAACCCCCAACACAUCCUUUUCAAACCAGAAUGUGAGAGGAGAAGCGAGUAAUUGUCCCGAUAAACUUGACCUCUUUGUAGAUUGGUUAACGAAUCAACCCGAAAACUUGAGCAACUCAGAUCAGUAGGAAACAUAACGUAAUUUCAACCUUAAUUUUUUUUGUCAAAUCGAGAGAUUUCCAACCCAUCUAACUAGGAGACUCCACAACAGCAGAUUGUAAGCCUACAAGAGCAGGUACGUGUUUUAAAGGAGUAGAUGGUACAACAAAUUAUCAUAUAUGAACCACAACUUUAUCAUCAAGAGCAGCUCAGACGAAAUGAGGAGAUGAUGCGAAAGAUGCGAUAAGACCAUUCUGGUCAUCAUGAUAACAACAUGCCCUUGUAGGAGGAGGGCUAUGGAGUAUAUGCAAGGCCAUGGCAAUAGGAAAUGGAUACCUUGCACUGAGACAUCUAGGCGCUACAUCCUAACGUCGAUGACAUGAAUUGGGUCUUUUGUGCUAACAAUCCUUUAGCCCCAUAAAUUGCAGCGGUGGGAUUACCUUUGGAGUUUAAAGUGCCAAAAUAGGUCUUCGAGGGAAGAAGGAACCCAUAAUCAUAUCUGAUGCAGUAUAAUGACUACAUGAAUGUUCUGGGAGCUUCGGAUGCUACGAAGUGCAAGGCUUUCUCCAUGAAUUUAAAGGGAAGUGUUAAUGAUUGAUAUUUUUCUUUGCCAUAGGGCUUUAUUAGGAGCUUCACACAGCUAGGUCAGUUGUUUCUGGGAAGAUUUCGUGCCAGAAUAAUCAUGAGUACUCCAAUGGGCUUAAUGUUGGUCAAGUAGAAGGAAGGAGAGUCUUUGUAGGAGUAUAUAAAGCGUUUUCAUGUGGUGACCUUGAAUACAAAAAACUUGGAAAAUCAAUGGGUCAUUGAUUCUUUCAUCAUGGGGGUGUUGAGUGAGCAUGUUCAGUAUUCGUUCAUAAGUAAUAGACUGCAAAACCUAGCAGACCUUUAUGAAAGAGCUUACAAGUUCGCAGAAGGGGAGGAAAUUAAAAAGUCAACUCAUUCUUUUCACCGAGAAGAUAGACAAGCUAGAGAGUGGUCAAAUAUUCGUAGGCAACCAGGGUACACCCCGUAGAUUUUAUGGAUACAAAGUGGGGGACAACAUAAGAACUAUUCGCAGGGUGUUUCUCUGCCAAGCUUUCAAAGACUCCAGCAUGAGUCCACGAGAAGGUACAUCUCCGUAACUUGAUUUAAUUUAUCAUGCUUGUUUCUUUUGAUUAUUAUAAUUUCAAGUUUUUAGUAGACAAUAACCUCGUAUGUUAUGGGCUAGAAUGCGAAGUGGUGAAUUGUGAAACGAUGAGUUAGCGAAAAGUGUUAGUAAGCAGCGAGGAGAGGUAGCAAAAUCGUUUUGGGGUUUCUCUCUCCUUUAUUUUACAGAUUUGUUAGUAGAAUAACUAAGAAUGAAAUCGACAUAAUUUUCUCUUUCCCUCUAUUCGCUCCACGAUUUUUUCCCUCAAUUCGCUGCUUACAAGAUUUUUCUAGUCUUACGGCUGGCUAAUUUAAUAUCUCAACCUUAUACUUACAGGAUUUUCCCGAUCUUACAGUUUGCCGAUUUAAGAUCGCAACCUUAUGCUUAUAAGAUUUUUUAAAUCUUGCGGCUGGCCGAUUUAAGAUCGUUGCCUUAUACUUACAGGAUUUUUUGAAUCUUGCGAUUUUUUGAUUUAAGAUCGCAACCUUAUACUUACAAGAUUUUCUGAAUCUUACAGCUCGCUGAUUUAAGAUCGAAACAUUAUACUUAUAAGAUUUUUUGAAUAUUGUGGGUUGCCGAUUUAAGAUCUCAACCUUAUACUUACAAGAUUUUCCAAAUCUUGUUGCUCACCAAUUUAAGAUCGCAACCUGCCUUAUACUUGCAAGAUUUUAUGAAUCUUGUGGCUCGCCAUUUAAGAUCCCAGCCUUAUACUUACAAGAUUUCUAGAAUCUUGCAGUUUUCAAUUUAAGACUGCAACUUUCUCAUAUAGUUGAUUUCAAUUUUAAAGUUGCAAAACCCAUAGAAAACUGACGUAGUUUUUCGGUACAAUUCGCAAUAUUUUCGCAACACUAUUCUCAUUAUUUUUACAAUACUAUUUACAAUAUUUUCACAAUAAAGCUAGCAAUAUUUUGCAGUACCAAUUGCAUUAUUUUUAAAUCACAACUCGUUGAAUUUUUGCUGUACAGCUCGCCAAUUUUUUGUUAUACAGCUCGUCUAAUUUUUCAAUAUACAAUUCACCAUAUUUUCACUAUAUUGCAGGUAUUUUCACCAUACAAUUUUCCAUAUUUUUUCUAUGCUACUCACCGUACACACUGAUGCUAUCCCUAAUGUUACAUGCUAAAUUAAGUGGCAAUUUUAACAUUAUGAAAAAAAAUAUAUAUCAAAACCCAAAUCAACAUCACUGACUCCCUCAAAGAAUCGAAGUUUACACAACACUGUCAUGCAACAAAGUUUACUUAGUAAGUUUCAAUUAGAACUUACAUAACACGCCAUCAAUUACACAGAUAAGAUGUGUAAACCUGUCUCAAAAGAGUCACUUUAGAACUCUUCUUCGACAAAGUGGGGGAUAAAUUGUUAUAUAAUACCUCACAAACCAUAAAUCUGAUUCGCCCAGAUGAUCCAGAAUCUGACCCGAUCAAGGAAGGGAUGUCAUCUAGCUCACCAAAUCCGCUAGCUUGCCACUCCCUAACUCAUCACCUCCCUGUUCGUACACCUGUAAGGAUACCUCUCUGAGGAGCCUCUUUGAGGAACCCUUCAGAGGUUACGUGUUAGGUCUAGGGGGCAAUGUGUCUUCAUGCAUGGCUCCUGGUUAUCCCCUAGCACGUCCCAUAAAAAAUCAUGCCUUAUAAAAUAACUAAAAAUAAAAUAAAAAAUAAUUGUUAUAAUAUUUUAAUAUAAUAUGUACCAUAUUCUUCUACCCUAUAAUCUCAAAAAUUUUAUUUAAAUAUUUUUAUACAUAAAAAUGGUAAACAUAAAAUGGGCUAACCCCUACCAUAUUAAUUAUAACUCUUUUUAAAUAAAUUAUAACUUAAUUAUCCUAACUAUUUUAAUUAAAAUCUAAAAUAUUAUCUAACCUAUUAAUUUAUAUUUCUAAUUAUCUUCACUAAAUUAAAACUUUAAUUUUCAUAAUAUAAUUUAAACUUCUAAUUAUCUUAAUUUACACAAAAUCUAAUCUAAACUAUUAAAAAUAAACACAUUAUUUUCUUUUAUUCAUUUGUGUUAUGAAUAUCUUAUUAAGUGGAUAUCUAUCAAGAUCAAAAUAAGUUUUAAUGUACUUUAAUUCUAAUAGUUAUUAAAAUUAGAUGUAACACCCUUUACCCGAGACCGUUGCCGGAGCCGAGCACGAGGCGUUACCUGUCUUAACUUACUAAUUCGGAGCAUAAAAAUUUGCUUUUAAAAUUAAUUCACUCACCUUCAAUCAAUAUUUCCCUAAAAAGGACCCUCGAGACCCUAAAACAUGCAAUGGAAAUGGUUCAGGUCCAAACCGAGAACAUUAAAAAUUGUCCGAAUACUUAAACAAAUCAAAAUAAUUUAUUUCGCUACUCACAAUAAAACUGUCCACUCGCAUAACAGUCACUAAUCUAAUUAUAACUCGAGUUACAAAACUUGAAAUUUAGAUCCGUAAAUUUUUCCUGAAACGAGACUUAUAUAUAUUCUUACCAUAAAAUUUCCAGAAUUUUUGGGUCAGCCAAAUAGUACAGUUUAUUCUUUAAAGUCUCCCAUGUUUCACUAUCUGACGGUUCUGACCCCUAUUCACUAAAAAUCAAUUAUCUCAUUGUACAGAAUUCGGAUAAUGUUCUCGCUUAUUUAUUUUGAAAAUAGAAUUAUGACUAAUAAUUAUUUCUAUGAAAUUUUUAAUUAUUUUCUAAAGUCAGAACAGGGGACUUCAAAAACCAUUCUAACUCUGUCUCACUAAAAUUCAAAUAUCUCAUAAUAUAUAAUUCCUUUGCCUACACUGUUUCUUUCAUGUAAAAAUAGACUCGAUAAGAUUUAAUUCUGUAUCUCAUUCACUCUCUAAUUCCAUUUCUACUAUGCUUGGUGAUUUUUCAAAACCACAUUAAUGCUGCUGUUCAAAAACCGUUCCAUUGAAAAUUUUUACUCUUUUAUAAUUUCUUUGUAUUAACUAUCAUUUAGGCAUACAUAACAUCAAAACAUGUUCUUAAAUAGCCAUUUCAAUAGCUAUUCAUUAGCCAUAUCAUAAGGACACACACAAAAUGACUAAUUCCCUAUACAUGCCAUAACUUAAAACGUUUCGAUCACAAAAUACCAAGAUGGUCUGUUGAUAGUGUGAAACGAUCUCCGACGCCCUUACGAUCCCCGAAUUGGCUUGGCGAUACUAUAAAAAGAAGGAAAAUAAAGGGGGUAAGCUCAAAAAAAAAGAAGAAAAAAGCAUUCGUACUCUCAUAACUCAAGUCAAAUAACUCGCAAAAUGCUCAAAAAAUAAUCCUUAGGCAUUCCUUUAUUGAGUGGUCUCUAACCCCUUUUUUGUUUGUCUCGCUUAGAAUCUAUUACGAUUCUUCAUUUUAAUCUAGUUGUUGAGAAAAUGGAAAAGGGUAUUUCCUUGUUCUAGGAUCUUUUAUCUUUGCCUUGAAUCAUUGGGUUUAGACAUUCCUUCGGCGAUAUUUAAAA